rnacentral:lncRNA from 1 species
UAAUCAUUUCUACAGGGAUGGGGGCUGCAGGACGGCUGACUAGUAGUCAAGGCAAUUUCCCUGUAAGAAGAUGCUGAUGGCUCAGCCCCACAAAAGACAGCUAUUUAAUACUCACAUUCAUCCAGGACUUCAGCCCCUGACUCACAGUCCUGUACCCCAACUUCUACCAUCAACUAAGAUCUAGAGAAAAGAGAGGAAGAGCAGCACAGCUGGAAUGCCUUCGUACCUCCAAUCGAGAAAAAACCCAAGGCGCUGGAAUCUAUGCAAACUUCGCCUUGGCCCGUCCAUUUACAUCCAGCUGUAGAUGAGCAACAGGGUUCCAUCAUUACAGAUUGGAAUCACAUACUAAUGCUUCACCAGUGACUGUACCUCAAGACUCGAGAAUAAUUAAACAUUCAGCGUGUACCUUCCUAUGAGUUAGAAAAUAUUGAAGAAAGAUGUGAUUAGUCCAGGGAAAGAGAGGACAGGGAGACUUAAUUAUACAAUGCAGAGCAGCAGAUGCGAUUUGGGAGAAAGAAGCGUAAAAUAAUAAUAGGGAUGCAAAGGAAGAAAAUCACACACACAAAAAGCUUAAUGUAGGAGGUGGAAUUUGACCAGAAGGUUAGAGAGUUGCUAUUCAGAGAAGAGAAAAAGAAAGUAAGGAAACAAGACCUGUGUUAGAAAAAAAAAAAAAAAAAAAAAACAGCUGCGCUUCACGUGAACCCAGGGGACAUAUAGAGGGCAGAAAGAAAUAUGGCUUGGAAAUACGCUUGUGGACCAGGGCCACGGCAUGAAGGGCCUACGGGCAAAUUAAAUUUUGAUUUUAUCCUGCAAUCUAUAGGGAACUACAAGUGGUAGUUUUCGUGUAUGAUUACAUUUGUUUUGAAAAGAUAAUCAUAUCCAGGAUGAGCGAGGGUGACAGAGGAGGGACUGAAAAAGACUAAUUGGGGGGUGGGUAAUAAAGGAUCAAAGAAAGAGUAGAUACUGAAAAGCUAGACAAGGACAGAUUCAAGGGUCCUUCUGAUGGCAAUAUUGACAGAGCUUAGAAACCUCUGAGAUGUAGGCGUGAGGGCAAGAAGGCAGCAAAGACGACUUGGUGCCUAGCAUGGGUGUCAGGAAGACACUCCUCCACAGUUUUGGCAUUAUUUGGUGGGGAAAGUUUGAGUUUAGUUUUGUACACAUGGAGUUUAAACAAAAGAAUGUAAACUGAAGCCCUGUUUUUUCUCAGAUACCAUUUUGAAAAACUUUGCUUUGACUGCUGAGCUCCAAAAUUAGCUCUGAGCUGUCUAGCUCUGUGCUCAAGUGUUUUGUUAUGGGGCAUUGGAAUAUCGCCUUCCUACAAGACCUGCCAUUUUACUGUCCAAAAUGUCAUUUAACAAAAAAUAGGGGGUGGUGAUUUAAAAAUUUUUAGUAGCGGCCGGGCGCGGUGGCUCAAGCCUGUAAUCCCAG